UAAUUUUCCCCGCCAAUGUCAGUAUUUCAAAAUGAGCGAGGCGGCAGGCCUCAUCUCAUCAGAGAGUUACAUCAGUGCUUUUACCCCGGGGACAUCCUGAGACAUUCAAAGUAGAUGAAGAACAAAAAGGAAUGUAUGAGGAAUGAUCCUAACUGCUCUGGACCAGGGGAGAGCUGUGCCCGGAGAGCAAUCGUCCAGGGACUUUAAUCCCGAAAUCUGGCCUUCCGGCUCCAUGAACUUUGAAAUGGAGCUUGUUCAGAACUGAGCACACAUCAACGCGAGCCUGGCUGUCCUGUGGCUAUGAAGUACAGAAUGAAGGCAUUGAACCCGGAGCCUCACACGUGCUAGACAAGUGCUCUGCCUUGGAACUACAUCCCAGCAUGAUUUCAGAUUUCAGAGGGAAGAGAAACCUCGGGGCAAAAGUAGGCGGCCGCUUAUCUUCCGAACAGGACCUUCUAAGAGCUGGGGCUUCUCCAUGGUGAAGGACCUUUGUAAUUCCCUCUCCUGAUUGGAGUCUGGCCUGACUCCUCUUGUAGCCCCACCAUGCACCAGGUUCUAGUCAGCCCUUGUCUGCCUGCUGGCCUCCUUCCCUCCCUUAGCUGUGACCCAGAACCAGCCAAAGUGUGCAGAUUUCAGAGACUAGGACGAGGCUGUAUUUGUCAUCCUUCUUCCAGGAGAGGCAUUUUAUGUCCCAAUUGCAUC